ACCUUAGAGACCAACUAAGUUUGUUCUGGGUAUAAGCUUUUGUGUGCAUGCGCACGAAAGCUUAUACCCAGAACAAACAUAGUUGGUCUCUAAGGU